UACCAGCUCCUCGAGUGGUUGGGGCGUUUAUUGGGCCUAAAGCAUCCGUAGCCGGCUCUAUAGGUUCUCCGUUAAAUUCAGCGGCUCAACCGUUGAGCUGCGGAGAAUACCGUGGGGCUAGGGAGCGGAAGAGGCGGACGGUACUCCGUGGGUAGGGGUAAAAUCCGCUGAUCCACGGAAGACCACCAGUGGCGAAGGCGGUCCGCCAGGACGCGUCCGACGGUGAGGGAUGAAAGCUGGGGGAGCGAACCGG
rnacentral:rRNA from 1 species